GGAGGGGUGGGUGAGUGGCUAAUACCAACAGACUGUAAAUCUGUCGCCCUAAGGGCUACGCAGGUUCGAAUCCUGCCCCCUCCACCA
rnacentral:tRNA from 1 species